rnacentral:rRNA from 1 species
CUCGCAGGAGACCGCCAGCGAUAAGCUGGAGGAAGGUGGGGAUGACGUCAAGUCCUCAUGGCCUUUAUGUCCAGGGCUACACACGUGCUACAAUGGACGGUACAAAGCGCAGCAAACCCGCGAGGGGGAGCCAAUCGCAAAAAACCGUUCUCAGUUCGGAUUGCAGUCUCGAGGAGAGCCUGCAUGAAGCUGGAAUCGCUAGUAAUGGCAGAUCAGCACGCUGCCGUGAAUACGUUCCCGG